GAUGAACGCUGGCGGUCUGCUUAACACAUGCAAGUCGAACGGAAGUAGCAAUACUUUAGUGGCGGACGGGUGAGUAACACGUAAGAAUCUGCCUCCAGGACGGGAAAAACAGUUGGAAACGACUGCUAAUUCCGGAUGAGCCGAAAGGUAAAAAGAAAUUCGCCUGGAGAUGAGCUUGCGGCUGAUUAGCCAGUUGGUAGGGUAAGAGCCUACCAAGGCGACGAUCAGUAGCUGGUCUGAGAGGAUGAGCAGCCACACUGGGACUGAGACACGGCCCAGACUCCUACGGGAGGCAGCAGUGGGGAAUUUUCCGCAAUGGGCGAAAGCCUGACGGAGCAAGACCGCGUGGGGGAGGAAGGUUCUUGGAUUGUCAACCCCUUUUCUCAAGGAAGAAGAUUAUGACGGUAGCAUAUGAAUAAGGAUCGGCUAACUACGUGCCAGCAGCCGCAGUAACAC
rnacentral:rRNA from 1 species